CUUUUUCAUCGUAUAUAUCAUUCAACAAACGACACCGUAAAUUACGACUUUGUUUUUCACAUUCAAAUUUAUUAUUAUAGGAAUGAUUUUGACGCAAAACUGAAAUCACAAAAUCACUAUAAAUGCGAACGUAUUCAUAGAAAAGGAAUAAACAUUGUUCUGAAGUUUAGUUGUAUAAUCAUCAAAGAAUUGAUUGAUUUUGAUGUAAGUACGUACGACGUAGGUACAUAUAACUAGUAGUGCCUAUCUAUACAUAAACGUAAUUAUGUACAUAUCAAGAAGCAUUACCUGCGUAUUCAAAUCGUGAUAAUUUUUCUAAAACUACCUAGUUUUUGAAGACCUUUUAUAAAAUACAAUGCUGGCUAUUAUUAAAAAUUAUAUCUUCAUUUUAUUGGUUACAGUACUGCUAGUUUGCACCGUUAAAUACACUGUUGUUGCUGCUCCAUCAGACCCAGACGGAGGUGCUGGGAAUGCGGACAGCGACGUAGAUUCCGAUAGUGGUUGGUUUGCCAACGGCUAAUGGAUAGGAAAAAUCAAAAUGAUUUUUUUCAUAUAAGUAAAUUAACAGGCCCAU